CUUUUAUGGCAGAAAGGAACAACCGUGGAAUUUCGAACUACAGCUGUGUAUCCUGCUCAUCAUAAGCUAGGAAAGCAUAAGCAUACCAUAAGCUAGGAAAGUCAGAGUUCAUGCAAGAGCAGGACUUCUGCCCAGGUGCUGAUAGGAACACUUUUUUUUUGGAACUUCGCAUUUGAAAUAUAGUUCAGUUGCAUAUGUGAACAGAAGUUGCAUAAUACCUAGAGUAAUGUAUAUGAGAGUUAAGUAUUUGGAGACAAGUUUUCAAAACGUUUUCAAAAAUGGAAGAAAUAAAUAUGUGUUUAUAUUCUUUAAUACUAGGGACCUUUUAAGGUGCAGCAGCAUUUGAUCUGAAUUGUCAGCUCAUGGAUACUUAGUAAUUGCAGAUGAGUUUCCUCUCCUGUCCUUUUUGUUCACUGGUACCUUAAACUCCCCUACUUCAGUCAGUCACAAUCAUGAUCUAAUUGUGAUCUCUCUUGCUGUUUCCCUACAGUUGUAAGAAAUUCUCUUGUGUGCUGAAGAGAGAUGCCCCAGUCUGAGGAUGCUCAGCCAUGCUUCUAUCCAGGAGGUACUACUGAAAGAAAGAAGUGGCUCUUUGAACAGCAAGCUAAACAGGUAUGCAGUCUUAUCAGUGAGCCCAGCCCUUCUGUAACAAGAAUGAAGUUUGAUAAUCCUUUUCAUACAGUUAAGGCCCUCUGUCAUAAAACCAC
rnacentral:lncRNA from 1 species